UUUCCGUAGGUGAACCUGCGGAAGGAUCAUUACAGAGUUCAUGCCCUCACGGGUAGAUCUCCCACCCUUGAAUAUUUAUACCUUAGUUGCUUUGGCAGGCCGUGGAAACACCAUGGGCUCCGGCUUAUGCGUGUCUGCCAGAGGAAACAAACUCUGUUUUUAGUGAUGUCUGAGUACUAUAUAAUAGUUAAAACUUUCAACAACGGAUCUCUUGGUUCUGGCAUCGUGAAGAACGCAGC
rnacentral:misc_RNA from 1 species